rnacentral:rRNA from 1 species
CCUACGGGAGGCAGCAGUGGGGAAUAUUGCACAAUGGGGGAAACCCUGAUGCAGCGACGCCGCGUGAGUGAAGAAGUAUCUCGUUAUGUAAAGCCCCUUUUGUAGGGAAGAAAAUGACGGUACCUGUGUAAGAAGCUCCGGCUAAAUACGUGCCAGCAGCGGAGGUAAUACGUAGGGGGCAAGCGUUAUCCGGAUUUACUGGGUGUAAAGGGAGUGUAGACGGUUGUGCAAGUCCGUAGUGAAAGGCGGGGGCUCAACCCCCGAAGUGCACUGGAAACUGUACGGCUGGAGUGAAGGAGAGGUAGGUGGAAUGCGUGGUGUAGCGGUGAAAUGCGUAGAUAGUAGGAGGAACACCAGUGGCGAAGGCAGCUUGC